ACCUUUAAUGUCAAAUAAAAUCAAGGGCCUUGCCCCAAGUGAAGCCAUCAGCAAACAUCAGGACUCUCCUGGGGAUUGUAUUCUCCCACAACAGCUUUCAGAGUUAUCACUUCCUAAGGAAAACAGGGCUUAAUCUCUCCCUGAGGCACAUGGAGAUAGAAUUGAAGCCAGGGUGGGAGGGCUGAAGAGAAGGCUGGUGCUGCUCGUGUGCCCUGGAGGAGCAGCAGGAGGAAGAGCACAGCCUGUGGAGCCAGACUGCCCGGAUCUGAACCUGGCUCUGCCAAUAGUAUAUCCUGAACAUUUGUGGAAAGAAAUUGGCUGCCACAUAUUUGUGACUACUGUUUGGAAAGAUGAACAUCUGAACCUCAUCACUGAGGCAGGAAUGUACUAGAUGACAUUUAGGAUGGCUUCCUAAAUAUCAAACAAGAUAUUGGAGAAACUCUGAUGAGUUCCAUCCUCUGCUCUGUUUUCCUGUUCCUGGAUAAUCUCAUCUGCUCCCAAGACUGCAAAUCCCACCUGCACAGGCAUCCAUCUGCUGCUCAUUCACUCUUUCACUUAGAUUCACCACGUAUAAGCAGUCUGCUCAGUACUGUUUCUCUGAGAACUGAGGUUGGAGAAAGACAUCAAAUAAU